rnacentral:rRNA from 1 species
AUUGAACGCUGGCGGCAUGCUUUACACAUGCAAGUCGAACGGUAACAGGUUAAGCUGACGAGUGGCGAACGGGUGAGUAAUGCAUCGGAACGUGCCCGAUCGUGGGGGAUAACGCAGCGAAAGCUGCGCUAAUACCGCAUACGAUCUGAGGAUGAAAGCGGGGGACCGUAAGGCCUCGCGCGAUCGGAGCGGCCGAUGUUAGAUUAGGUAGUUGGUGGGGUAAAGGGUCACCAAGCCAACGAUCUGUAGCUGGGCUGAGAGGACGACCAGCCACGCUGGGACUGAGACACGGCCCAGACUCCUACGGGAGGCAGCAGUGGGGAAUUUUGGACAAUGGGCGAAAGCCUGAUCCAGCAAUGCCGCGUGCAGGAAGAAGGCCUUCGGGUUGUAAACUGCUUUUGUACGGAGCGAAAAGGCUCUCUCUAAUACAGGGGGCUCAUGACGGUACCGUAAGAAUAAGCACCGGCUAACUACGUGCCAGCAGCCGCGGUAAGAC